AUGAACGCUAGCGGCAGGCCUCAUACCUGCAAGUCGGACGGGAUUCAGGAGCUUGCUUCUGAUGAGAGUGGCGCACGGGUGCGUAACACGUAUGUAACCUACCUUUAUCAGGGGGAUAGCCUCUCGAAAGAGAGAUUAAGCCCGCAUAAAAUCACAGCACAGCAUUGUGUAAUGAUCAAAUAUUUAUAGGAUAAAGAUGGGCAUGCGGAACAUUAGCUAGAUGGCGGGGUAACGGCCCACCAUGGCGACGAUGUUUAGGGGAUCUGAGAGGAUGGCCCCCCACACUGGUACUGAGACACGGACCAGACUCCUACGGGAGGCAGCAGUAAGGAAUAGUGGUCAAUGGGCGGAAGCCUGAACCAGCCAUGCCGCGUGCAGGAAGACGGCCCUACGGGUUGUAAACUGCUUUUAUACGGGAAUAAACCCAGAUACGUGUAUCUGGCUGAAUGUACUGUAAGAAUAAGGAUCGGCUAACUCCGUG
rnacentral:rRNA from 1 species